rnacentral:rRNA from 1 species
AGAUUGAACGCUGGCGGCAUGCCUUACACAUGCAAGUCGAACGGCGAGCACGGGGCAACCUGGUGGCGAGUGGCGAACGGGUGAGUAAUGCAUCGGAACGUGCAUUGAGUGGGGGGUAACGUAGCGAAAGUUACGCUAAUACCGCAUAUUCUGUGAGCAGGAAAGCAGGGGAUCGCAAGACCUUGCGCUCUUUGAGCGGCCGAUGUCAGAUUAGCUAGUUGGUGAGGUAACGGCUUACCAAGGCGACGAUCUGUAGCGGGUCUGAGAGGAUGAUCCGCCACACUGGAACUGAGACACGGUCCAGACUCCUACGGGAGGCAGCAGUGGGGAAUUUUUGGACAAUGGGGGCAACCCUGAUCCAGCCAUGCCGCGUGAGUGAAGAAGGCCUUCGGGUUGUAAAGCUCUUUCGGCCGGGAAGAAAUCGCAUGGGUUAAUACCCUGUGUGGAUGACGGUACCGGCAUAAGAAGCACCGGCUAACUACGUG